rnacentral:rRNA from 1 species
UGGGGAAUAUUGGGCAAUGGACGCAAGUCUGACCCAGCAACGCCGCGUGAAGGAAGAAGGCUUUCGGGUUGUAAACUUCUUUGACAGGGGAAGAGCAGAAGACGGUACCCUGAAAACAAGCCACGGCUAACUACGUGCCAGCAGCCGCGGUAAUACGUAGGUGGCAAGCGUUGUCCGGAUUUACUGGGUGUAAAGGGCGUGCAGCCGGGCCGACAAGUCAGAUGUGAAAUCCCGAGGCUUAACCUCGGAACUGCAUUUGAAACUGUUGGUCUUGAGUAUCGGAGAGGUCAUCGGAAUUCCUUGUGUAGCGGUGAAAUGCGUAGAUAUAAGGAAGAACACCAGUGGCGAAGGCGGAUGACUGGACGACAACUGACGGUGAGGCGCGAAAGCGUGGGGAGCGAACAGGA